UAGGAGCCUGCGAGCCUGCAGGGGAUGCUGUUGUGACAGGUAAAGACUCUUCAUAAGGUCGCCAAUUUCAACCUUGACUCCAGACACCAAGUAUCACGGCUACCGAGAAGAAGUGAACGUUUAACAUGCACUGUUUUUUUGUACAAAGAUCUUAAAAUACUUAUCCUGUAUGAAAAACCCAGAAACUGCGAUUUAAAGAUUAAACGGAACCAUGCGUUUCGGAUACACUACAGUUAUUUACAUAUCCUGACAAAAGCGUUUUAUAGCCACUAAAUGUCAGUGAUAAUUGACAGUUGGAUACCAUAUAGCACUCGCACUCUACAUGUAGAUAAAAUGUUCAAUUAAAACUGACAUAUGG